rnacentral:rRNA from 1 species
UACAGAGGGGGCGAGCGUUAUUCGGAAUUAUUGGGCGUAAAGGGCGCGUAGGCGGUGCUUUAAGUCGGAUGUGUAAUCCCCGGGCUUAACCUGGGAACUGCAUCCGAGACUGGAGUGCUGGAGUGCUGGAGAGGGUGGUGGAAUUCCUCGUGUAGCGGUGAAGUGCGUAGAGAUGAGGAGGAACACCAGUGGCGAAGGCGGCCACCUGGACAGUAACUGACGCUGAGGCGCGAAAGUGUGGGGAG